rnacentral:rRNA from 1 species
AUGAACGCUGGGGCGUGCCUUAUACAUUCAAGUCGAGCGAAAAGACGAGGAGCUUGCUCCUCUGACGUUAGCGGCGGACGGGUGAGUAACACGUGGAAAACCUACCUAUAAGACUGGGAUAACUUCGGGAAACCGGAGCUAAUACCGGAUAAUAUAUUUAACCGCAUGGUUCAAUAGUGAAAGACGGGUUUGCUGUCACUUAUAGAUGGAUCCGCGCCGCAUUAGCUAGUUGGUAAGGUAACGGCUUACCAAGGCAACGAUGCGUAGCCGACCUGAGAGGGUGAUCGGCCACACUGGAACUGAGACACGGUCCAGACUCCUACGGGAGGCAGCAGUAGGGAAUCUUCCGCAAUGGGCGAAAGCCUGACGGAGCAACGCCGCGUGAGUGAUGAAGGUCUUCGGAUCGUAAAACUCUGUUAUUAGGGAAGAACAAAUGUGUAAGUAACUAUGCACGUCUUGACGGUACCUAAUCAGAAAGCCACGGCUAACUACGUG